ensembl:rRNA 5S_rRNA 5S ribosomal RNA
GCCGGCAGCUAGCUCUCAGCAACUCUCGCAUGGUCACAAACUGAAGCUAAGCAGGGCUGCGCCCAGUCAGUGCCUGGAUGGCAGACCACAUGGGAAAGCCAAGUUGCUGCCGGAG